rnacentral:rRNA from 1 species
UCCUUCGGGAGGGGAUUAGUGGCGAACGGGUGAGUAACACGUGGGCAAUCUGCCCUGCACUCUGGGACAAGCCCUGGAAACGGGGUCUAAUACCGGAUACGACCACUGAGGGCAUCCUCGGUGGUGGAAAGCUCCGGCGGUGCAGGAUGAGCCCGCGGCCUAUCAGCUUGUUGGUGGGGUGAUGGCCUACCAAGGCGACGACGGGUAGCCGGCCUGAGAGGGCGACCGGCCACACUGGGACUGAGACACGGCCCAGACUCCUACGGGAGGCAGCAGUGGGGAAUAUUGCACAAUGGGCGAAAGCCUGAUGCAGCGACGCCGCGUGAGGGAUGACGGCCUUCGGGUUGUAAACCUCUUUCAGCAGGGAAGAAGCGAAAGUGACGGUACCUGCAGAAGAAGCGCCGGCUAACUACGUGCCAGCAGCCGCGGUAAUACGUAGGGCGCGAGCGUUGUCCGGAAUUAUUGGGCGUAAAGAGCUCGUAGGCGGCUUGUCACGUCGGUUGUGAAAGCCCGGGGCUUAACCCCGGGUCUGCAGUCGAUACGGGCAGGCUAGAGUUCGGUAGGGGAGAUCGGAAUUCCUGGUGUAGCGGUGAAAUGCGCAGAUAUCAGGAGGAACACCGGUGGCGAAGGCGGAUCUCUGGGCCGAUACUGACGCUGAGGAGCGAAAGCGUGGGGAGCGAACAGGAUUAGAUACCCUGGUAGUCCACGCCGUAAACGUUGGGCACUAGGUGUGGGCGACAUUCCACGUCGUCCGUGCCGCAGCUAACGCAUUAAGUGCCCCGCCUGGGGAGUACGGCCGCAAGGCUAAA